GGGGACGUAGCUUAGUGGUAAAUCUCACAAGAACAAUUGGAAAGCGGGUUAAACGAACUUCUUGUGGAGGCCUGAAAAGGCGACACAAGGAGCAUAGAGGGGCUUUCGGUGCCUUCGGGUUUAUUGGGAGGUAUCCGGGGUUCAUCUUCGUCCGUGGACCAUUCAGAUUGUGGAUCGCUGGUUCGAAUCCAGCCAUCUCCA
rnacentral:tRNA from 1 species